rnacentral:misc_RNA from 1 species
GAUGAAGAACGUAGCGAAAUGCGAUAAGUAAUAUGAAUUGCAGAAUUCAGUGAAUCAUCGAAUCUUUGAACGCACAUUGCGCCCGCCAGUAUUCUGGCGGGCAUGCCUGUUCGAGCGUCAUUACAACCCUCAGGCCCCCGGGCCUGGCGUUGGGGAUCGGCGGAGCCCCCCGUGGGCACACGCCGUCCCCCAAAUACAGUGGCGGUCCCGCCGCAGCUUCCAUCGCGUAGUAGCUAACACCUCGCGACUGGAGAGCGGCGCGGCCACGCCGUAAAACACCCAACUCUUCUGAAGUUGACCUCGAAUCAGGUAGGAAUACCCGCUGAACUUAAGCAUAUCAAUAAGCGGAGGA